AAUAAGUACAGUUUUACACUGUUCAUAUCCAACGUUUGUCCACUUAUCUUAUUUGAAUUUUUUUUAUAAUUAGUAAUUUUAUUGUUAUUAGAUGAUAAAAAUAUGAUUAGUACUUUAUGUGUAACUAUUCUUUUUUACUUUUUCAUAAAUUUUUAAAAAUAAAACGGACAGUCAAACGUUGGAUAUGGAUAUGAACGGCUACAUUUAUU
rfam:Oryza glumipatula chromosome 12, whole genome shotgun sequence.